GGCCAUGUGAAAUUUGUUUUAAUUACAUAUUUUGUUAUCUAUUUCAUAUUUUGAUAUUUGAAAUUUCAAUAUCGUUACUCAUUUGUAAUUUAAAAUUAAAAUUGUUCAGACCUAUUGAGUACCAAUCACAGAAUAACGUAAUAAGGGUCUUAAAAAUGCGUUGUUGUGUAGCUUCAUGUAAGACUAAUAAAUCAAAAGCUACAAAAAUAAGUUUAUUUGGUAUACCUAAAACUGAUGCUUUAAGGCUUGACUGGGAGAAAGCCUUAGGUGUUUUUUUUAAAACUAGUUCUAGAGUAUGUCGUGACCAUUUUAAAGAGGAAGAUAUAAUUGAUACCUGGGUGUCUGGCAAAGGAUUAACCAAAUACACGAUAAGCUUAAAAAAACCCACACUUCGCAAAGGUGCGAUUCCCAUUCCUAUCCGCACUGCCUCACCUAUAUCUCAAAAUUUUGAUUCAAGUGUUGCACAAGUAAAAGUACCAAAGGAAUUUGAGGUAUUAGUUUCAAACAUUAACAAUGACCAUUGCUAUUACUCAGGUAAAGGCAAUACAACGAAAAUCACAUCACCAUCACAUGAUACCUUACCUUCACCUGAAAUAGAGGUACAUCCAAUUUCUCAUUUUAAAGACAUUUUAAAUCAAAUAGACGUAUUAAAUAUUCCUGAAAAAUGGUAUUAUGAUAAGCAUACAACCAAAAAAAUAAAGAUGAUCAGUUUUCAUAAAUUGGGACCAUACAGAGAUGAUUUUACUAGAAGCAUAGAAAAACAAUUAGUUUUGACUGAAGAUUUACAAUUAUUACUCUUUGCUUAUAACAAGAAAAUCACUACAUCUGACAUAGGAAAUAUUUCUGAAGUGAAUACUAUUAAUACAUAUGAAAAAUUACUAAGUAUACUUAAACAAUUUGAUGAAACUCUAGUAUGUCAAGGUGCUUUACCCUCAAAACCAUUUGAUGAUGUUAAUUCUUCAUAUGGUUAUCAAUUUGUUGAAUCCUAUGGAAUGUGGAGACAUAUAAAAUGCUGCACAAUACUAACAAAGGAUAAUAGCCAAAAAAGUAAUAUUUGUAUAUGGUGUAAACGUUUGUGGUAUAUAAUAAAAAAUAGAAAGUUACGCUUGAAAAAUAACCAAACAAUCCGGGUAUUCUUUUCUCCAAAUCAGCAAAAAAAAUUAAAACAAAUUAAAGCUCAAAAGAUGUUAAUGAGAAAAAAAUACUCCAGAGCAACAAAAAGAAUUAUUUUCCUUCAAAAUAAGUUAAAAGAAAUUAAAAAAAAAACGAAAGAAAUCACUCAAUCUAGACUUGAAGAGCUUUUAGAUCAAGACAGUUUAAAUAUGUCAAUGUAUCAACCUGAACUAUUAUAUGAAUCAGAUGAUUAAUUCUGAUCAUAAAUUGUGCUAGAAACUUUAACCAUGGCCCACACCGAGGUGCUCCACAUGGCUGUAUUAUAGUUGUGCUAAAAUAUCAACUCAUUUAGCUGCUACUUUUGUUGGAAUGCAUCCAUAUUUUCUUUGAUAUGGAUUUUUAUUUACAUUUAUUAAUAUGAUCCUAUUGAAUCUCAAUGUAUCUCAUGAUGAUGAAGUCACUUAAAUUAUGAACCAAACAAAAUUUUACAAUCAGAUGCAAUGUUUUAAAUGGUGUAGCAAGUGAUUGCAAUUAACUUCGCAAGGAAAUUGUUACUAAUUCCUAUUUGUUCAAAAUAUAUUAGAUUUAGAUUUGAGUUGUAUUAAUAACAGUUUUAACUAAUAAAAAUACU